GGGUUGUGAGGUUAAGCGACUAAGCGUACACGGUGGAUGCCCUGGCAGUCAGAGGCGAUGAAGGACGUGCUAAUCUGCGAUAAGCGUCGGUAAGGUGAUAUGAACCGUUAUAACCGGCGAUUUCCGAAUGGGGAAACCCAGUGUGAUUCGUCACACUAUCGUUAACUGAAUACAUAGGUUAACGAAGCGAACCGGGGGAACUGAAACAUCUAAGUACCCCGAGGAAAAGAAAUCAACCGAGAUUCCCCCAGUAGCGGCGAGCGAACGGGGA
rnacentral:rRNA from 2 species